rnacentral:rRNA from 1 species
CGAUUCCCUUAGUAGUGGCGAACGAAAAGGGAGGAGCCCAGCGCAUAAUCUCCCAGGCCGCCCGGCCUGCGGCGAAAUGUUGCGUUAAGGGAAAGGUCGCUCGUAAGCCACGCACGCUCGUGCUUAUGCCUAAGAGCGAAUUGAAUUGUUCGCGCUUGUUCGGCAUUCGCUCACGCGAGUUGUCGACGUACGGUUCCAGGGUGGGUGCAAGCCCCGUAUGGCGUACGUUGCGUCGCGUUGGUUCGGCCUCUAUUCCCUAAGAGUCGCGUUGCUUGAACAUGCAGCGCUAAGCAGGUGGUAAACUCCACCUAAGGCUAAAUACAUCCACAGAACCGAUAGCUGACAAGUACCGCGAGGGAAAGUUGAAAAGUACUCUGAAGAGAGGGUGAAAAGACCGUGAAACCGCUCAGGGUAAAAGUCAAAUGUCGAGUGAUCCUAGAUGCUGGGGCAUCGUCUCGCUCUCUUUCUCACGAGAGAGAGCGAGACGAUAGUGUGUGUCUGUGUGCGCGUUAGAAGUUACCAGGCUUAUGUAAGCGCGCCGUGUAUUACUGGGGUUUAUCGCUCUAGUGUAUGCGGUCAUUUAAGCCGAGUCUCUCUAGUGCAUCGAGCAUAUCGAGUACACCACCGUCAGGCCCGCUAACAGCCCACCGCAACUGCUGUUGAGUUGUCACUCGCGGUAGAUGGGCGUAAGUUCGUGACUUACUUGUUCUCUCGGUCGUCAGGUUUGCGCUUGCGAGAUGUUUUCCCGGAGUAGGCUGAAGCGCGAGCUUUGGUGCGAAAAGGGCCUCUCGUAUGCGGGCGUACUACUAAUGACAUACCAUAAGGCUGGGAAUAGCGAGUUUGUCGCAAAGCGAACUACGCGUCGUACUACCAAUGCGAUUGUGUAUGAUCCUCUGGCAGCGUUGUUCGCUGACACACGCACUUCUGUGUGUGUACGGUGGUAUAUGCUAGGUGACAUUGAUCACGUCUCGAAACACGGGCCAAGGAGCGUAGCGUGCACGCGAGUCAAAGGGUCUCACUAAACCCUACGGCGACAGUGAAAGCGAGUGGUUCAUCGGCAUACGUGUCGGUGUAUCCCGGGUUGCGACGAUAGUUCUUUUACCGAAGUCUAUUCGAAGCAUCUCCGUUUUGUCAGGGCCGAUCCCGAUCGAUAAGAUUGGGCGCAAGCCCCGGGCUCACUCGUAAGACGCGAUUUCCCCUCGGGGUUGUUGUGUCGGAGAGAGCACCGAGUAGCGUGCACGGUACAACCCGAAAGAUAGUGAACUAUGCCUGGCGAGGAUUAAGCCCCAGGAAACUGUGGUGGAAGUCCGUAGCCGUUGUGACGUGCAAAUCCAUGGUAUCAGCUGGGCAUAGGGGCGAAAGACCAAUCGAACUAUCUAGUAGCUGGUUCCGUCCGAAGUUUCUCUCAGGAUAGCUGGCGCGAUUACGGCACGUUUGUCUGAUUCUCUAAGCUGGCGACAACAGUCGCACUCGAGAUCGUACCUGCGUUUGUCGAGAGCUGAGGGCAAUAGCCGCUGCACGCCUCACACGCUCGGUGUCUCUGUCACCUUACUAACUAUUCAGUUACGUCUGGUAAAGAGAAUGAGUAGAGGUUGCGUGCCGCGCGCCCAAAUGCGCGGCAGCGGCGGGGCGUUCUACGCCUCGCACUAUUAUCAAACUUUAAAUGGGCGAGGAACUCGGCAUUUCUUAACUGAGUUAAACGUGAUGCCGGGGAAACGAGUGCGCGUCGCCGUAACAAAGCGACGAGACUAGAAUGUGUCCGCGUUUAGUGGGUCCGUUCUGGUAAGCAGAACUGAUAAUGAGGGAUGAACCUAACGUUGUGUUAAGGGGCCAAAGUGACAGCUAUUUCUCGAAACCAUUGGAAAGGCGUUGCUUGCUGAAGACAGCAGGACGGUGGUCAUGGAAGUUGACAUCCGCUAAGGAGUGUGUAACAACUCAUCCUGCCGAAGCGAGUAACCCUGAAAAUGGAUGGCUCUAAAGCUCUCUCCCGAUGCACGACCGUCAGCGGCAACACGGCUAUCCAUAGUCUCGAUGCCCUGACGAGUAGGACGGAGUAUCGGUGCGCGUCGAAGGCCUUAGGGUAACCUGGGCUGGAGCCGCCGAUAAUUCAGAUCUUGGUGGUAGUAGCAAGUACUCUGGUUGAUAACCUUGAGCUAUGAGGUUGAUAAGGGUUCCAUGUCAACAGCGUUUGUACAUGGGUAAGCCGAUCCUAAGCCAACCUAUACUUCGGUAUUGAGCGCGAGCGCAACUUGCAUAUUACCUAACCGGUAACGCGAGCGUCCUUUUACUAGGCCCGCCCGCGUUUUAAUGACUUUAACGCUCGAGGCUGUGUCUUAUUACACACAGUGUGUGCUACGGCGAAAGAGAUACAUGUUCGAUCUGUAUCGCAGUGUAUUAGUCUCUGUGCGUGUGCUUAUAGCUAGACCCCCAUUGGUGUGUGGGAAAUAGUUGGUGCGAUGAAAUUGAACGCACUCCGUGUGUUCUUUAGUAAGCCACCCUCUGUAGUACCACACACACACACAUUGGUGUGUCACGGUUAUUACGCGUUCAUACUUUUACACGCAGAUAUAGAGAGUGUGUCUUUAGUAGCCAAUACCCACUCACAUACGUGUGUUUAUAACUCUAGAUACAGCCAAGUUAUCGUCUGAAAGGUUUGCGAGUUGUUUUAGCCUGGCGAAAGGGAACUAUGGACUUAGUUCAUGGGCCUCUCUUGGUUCCCUGAUGCGUCGCCGUAUCACGAACUUAGCAACAGCUAUCUAGCUGAGCCAUUGCAGUCUCGAGUCGCGUGAUGGGGAGAUGUCUCCUCUCAUUAAUCGAACCCCUAGAACCUGUUAAACGCCUUGAGAGGAGUUAGGCUCUAUGUUCGUGAGAAGAGUAAUUUCUCUCCCCAAUCAUAUCAAUGUUUCUCGAGAUCCGUGAAAAAGUGGCCGAGGGAAUUUCUCUGAUGAACCAUCUCUACCGAUGUUCUUAGAGAUUGCCAAGAGUGUACGUACCCGAGUCCGCAUCCGUCUCAAA